rnacentral:rRNA from 1 species
GGGUUGUGAGGUUAAGCGACUAAGCGUACACGGUGGAUGCCCUGGCAGUCAGAGGCGAUGAAGGACGUGCUAAUCUGCGAUAAGCGUCGGUAAGGUGAUAUGAACCGUUAUAACCGGCGAUUUCCGAAUGGGGAAACCCAGUGUGUUUCGACACACUAUCAUUAACUGAAUCCAUAGGUUAAUGAGGCGAACCGGGGGAACUGAAACAUCUAAGUACCCCGAGGAAAAGAAAUCAACCGAGAUUCCCCCAGUAGCGGCGAGCGAACGGGGAGGAGCCCAGAGCCUGAAUCAGUGUGUGUGUUAGUGGAAGCGUCUGGAAAGGCGCGCGAUACAGGGUGACAGCCCCGUACACAAAAAUGCACAUGCUGUGAGCUCGAUGAGUAGGGCGGGACACGUGGUAUCCUGUCUGAAUAUGGGGGGACCAUCCUCCAAGGCUAAAUACUCCUGACUGACCGAUAGUGAACCAGUACCGUGAGGGAAAGGCGAAAAGAACCCCGGCGAGGGGAGUGAAAAAGAACCUGAAACCGUGUACGUACAAGCAGUGGGAGCACGCUUAGGCGUGUGACUGCGUACCUUUUGUAUAAUGGGUCAGCGACUUAUAUUCUGUAGCAAGGUUAACCGAAUAGGGGAGCCGAAGGGAAACCGAGUCUUAACUGGGCGUUAAGUUGCAGGGUAUAGACCCGAAACCCGGUGAUCUAGCCAUGGGCAGGUUGAAGGUUGGGUAACACUAACUGGAGGACCGAACCGACUAAUGUUGAAAAAUUAGCGGAUGACUUGUGGCUGGGGGUGAAAGGCCAAUCAAACCGGGAGAUAGCUGGUUCUCCCCGAAAGCUAUUUAGGUAGCGCCUCGUGAAUUCAUCUCCGGGGGUAGAGCACUGUUUCGGCAAGGGGGUCAUCCCGACUUACCAACCCGAUGCAAACUGCGAAUACCGGAGAAUGUUAUCACGGGAGACACACGGCGGGUGCUAACGUCCGUCGUGAAGAGGGAAACAACCCAGACCGCCAGCUAAGGUCCCAAAGUCAUGGUUAAGUGGGAAACGAUGUGGGAAGGCCCAGACAGCCAGGAUGUUGGCUUAGAAGCAGCCAUCAUUUAAAGAAAGCGUAAUAGCUCACUGGUCGAGUCGGCCUGCGCGGAAGAUGUAACGGGGCUAAACCAUGCACCGAAGCUGCGGCAGCGACGCUUAUGCGUUGUUGGGUAGGGGAGCGUUCUGUAAGCCUGCGAAGGUGUGCUGUGAGGCAUGCUGGAGGUAUCAGAAGUGCGAAUGCUGACAUAAGUAACGAUAAAGCGGGUGAAAAGCCCGCUCGCCGGAAGACCAAGGGUUCCUGUCCAACGUUAAUCGGGGCAGGGUGAGUCGACCCCUAAGGCGAGGCCGAAAGGCGUAGUCGAUGGGAAACAGGUUAAUAUUCCUGUACUUGGUGUUACUGCGAAGGGGGGACGGAGAAGGCUAUGUUGGCCGGGCGACGGUUGUCCCGGUUUAAGCGUGUAGGCUGGUUUUCCAGGCAAAUCCGGAAAAUCAAGGCUGAGGCGUGAUGACGAGGCACUACGGUGCUGAAGCAACAAAUGCCCUGCUUCCAGGAAAAGCCUCUAAGCAUCAGGUAACAUCAAAUCGUACCCCAAACCGACACAGGUGGUCAGGUAGAGAAUACCAAGGCGCUUGAGAGAACUCGGGUGAAGGAACUAGGCAAAAUGGUGCCGUAACUUCGGGAGAAGGCACGCUGAUAUGUAGGUGAAGUCCCUCGCGGAUGGAGCUGAAAUCAGUCGAAGAUACCAGCUGGCUGCAACUGUUUAUUAAAAACACAGCACUGUGCAAACACGAAAGUGGACGUAUACGGUGUGACGCCUGCCCGGUGCCGGAAGGUUAAUUGAUGGGGUUAGCGCAAGCGAAGCUCUUGAUCGAAGCCCCGGUAAACGGCGGCCGUAACUAUAACGGUCCUAAGGUAGCGAAAUUCCUUGUCGGGUAAGUUCCGACCUGCACGAAUGGCGUAAUGAUGGCCAGGCUGUCUCCACCCGAGACUCAGUGAAAUUGAACUCGCUGUGAAGAUGCAGUGUACCCGCGGCAAGACGGAAAGACCCCGUGAACCUUUACUAUAGCUUGACACUGAACAUUGAGCCUUGAUGUGUAGGAUAGGUGGGAGGCUUUGAAGUGUGGACGCCAGUCUGCAUGGAGCCGACCUUGAAAUACCACCCUUUAAUGUUUGAUGUUCUAACGUUGACCCGUAAUCCGGGUUGCGGACAGUGUCUGGUGGGUAGUUUGACUGGGGCGGUCUCCUCCUAAAGAGUAACGGAGGAGCACGAAGGUUGGCUAAUCCUGGUCGGACAUCAGGAGGUUAGUGCAAUGGCAUAAGCCAGCUUGACUGCGAGCGUGACGGCGCGAGCAGGUGCGAAAGCAGGUCAUAGUGAUCCGGUGGUUCUGAAUGGAAGGGCCAUCGCUCAACGGAUAAAAGGUACUCCGGGGAUAACAGGCUGAUACCGCCCAAGAGUUCAUAUCGACGGCGGUGUUUGGCACCUCGAUGUCGGCUCAUCACAUCCUGGGGCUGAAGUAGGUCCCAAGGGUAUGGCUGUUCGCCAUUUAAAGUGGUACGCGAGCUGGGUUUAGAACGUCGUGAGACAGUUCGGUCCCUAUCUGCCGUGGGCGCUGGAGAACUGAGGGGGGCUGCUCCUAGUACGAGAGGACCGGAGUGGACGCAUCACUGGUGUUCGGGUUGUCAUGCCAAUGGCACUGCCCGGUAGCUAAAUGCGGAAGAGAUAAGUGCUGAAAGCAUCUAAGCACGAAACUUGCCCCGAGAUGAGUUCUCCCUGACUCCUUGAGAGUCCUGAAGGAACGUUGAAGACGACGACGUUGAUAGGCCGGGUGUGUAAGCGCAGCGAUGCGUUGAGCUAACCGGUACUAAUGAACCGUGAGGCUUAACCUUACAACGCCGAAGGUGUUU